rfam:Ipomoea nil DNA, scaffold: scaffold1198, cultivar: Tokyo-kokei standard.
GCCUGUCUAGAUCAGUCGGUAGAGCGCAAGGCUCUUAACCUUGUGGUCUGGGUUGAAGUCCCAGGGUGGGCG